UCCUUUGUGAGUUAUUGAAGUAUUUACAAUGGAAACUUAUUCAUUUAAAAUGUGUAUUACUAAAAAUAUGGUUAUCCAAAAUACUGAAUUUACCAUCUAUGGCUAGGGUAGGGUAGGGUUACCCUUCUAGAUUGACAAGUUUACCCCGUUACACAAAAAGUUUGGACACCUCUGAUCUAUAACAAUGACAAUCAGAACAUGGCUAUCCAACACUUUGUUUUUACUCUGCAUUUGUGUAAUUACUAUUCUAAUAGAUAUUGUAUGUUCAUCUAGGAACAGCGUGAUGUAAAUAUAAGACGGGCCCUCGUCCUUCGUGCACUUCCUGUGUACCUGCGUGAAGAUGCCUCCAAGUUCUUCAGGACUUGUAGUACACUUGAUUCAGCAGAUGGUCCAGACCUCACUGUCACUCCUGUGGCUCUGCUGACAGUUGUCACGGAUGACACUACUGAUUCGGCCCUCUUCAGUCCCGAAAGCAUCUGCAUCGUCGUUGAGGAUGAAAUACUUUUGAAUGGUCCCACAAAUCUGGCUGACUCAUUUCUCCUGCUCUUUGGGUACAUCUAUGCAGUAGACCUACAAUAUCCAAAGAAACUUGAGCUUACAUUCACAUUUAUCCAGAAGGUUGUGAUGUGCCUUGAGGACAACAAACCACUGAAAGGGCGUCUACUGACGCUGAAGAAUGAUUUGUUUAAUGAGUGAAUCACUUACUUGUUGAGCUGAGUAUUGAGGAAGUUGUUUUGUGUGUGUGUGUGUGUGUGUGUGGUUUUUUUCCUAAUCAUUUGGCUCUUCUACUUCAAAUUUAAGGUGAAUGACUGCUCAUUUCGUGGACUCAUGGAUUCAUGUUUAAUGUUCUGUUGCCUAACACCCUGAUGCACUGCCUUAAUGUUUGUUCCCUAUGAAGUAUGGCAGUGAAAACCAGUACUUUUUGUUUAUGUAUUUAAAACAAGAAAGUGACUGCAGCUGUCAAGGUACACUAAGUGUUAAAUGCCUUAAUGUUCUAAUAGCUGUAAUUACUGUUAAUACUGAAAAUGUUAUUGAAUUUUAGAAUUGAGAUGGAGACCCUUGGAGUCAGUGUUGUCGUUUUCAUGUUUUCUAACACUUUUAGCUGAUUGUAAUUUACUGGGCAGUUUAGAAUUAUUUUUAAGCGUAUUUCCCACAGGAUUUUAAAAUAUUGAAAAUUUUAAGUGUCAUUUCCCACAUUAUAGGUUAAAAAAUAUCAAAAAGUUUGAGUUUAUUUCCCACAGUGUAUAAGUUGCAAUAUUUAAACAUUUUUGAGUGUAUUUCCCACCUCAAUUAAGUUGAAAAAUUGAGUUUAUUACUCCCUAAUUAUAAGUUGAGGAAUGUCAGCAUUUAUAAGUUAACAUUGAGAUCAUUUAAGGCAACUGCAAAUGUAAUUUUUAUUUUAGUUAAACUUAAAACUUUUAAAAACAUCACUAAAAAAUUGUUGUGUAAUCUGUUACACAACAACUUUUGAGUUCUGUGAACUUAUUAGGUUUUACAGUGCAGCAAACUGGUAAUCACUUCUAAACAAUGGGGUUAGUUUAUGGCUCUUUAUCAGCCGCAACACCAUGUAGCACCUGGAUGUUAGAAUCUUUUACAAGGCGGCGUUGUUAACUUCCAACUUCCAACCUGCAGGCCCAAGGUGUCUGACUUCUAACCCUUGCUGGCAUAUGGCCCUCUGAGGCCCUUGAUCAGCAGCAGUAGCUGUUAUGGUUUAGAGGAGGACUCAAGCGCAGGACUCCGGGCUCAGAUGCACACAAGAAAGAUUUAUUUACAAUUCACCAGGUGUAUAUACAAGAAGGUGCGGGGGGAGUGCUAUGAACAGCUGAGUGAGGGGAAAAGGGGCUCCAGGGAAGUCCAGAGGAAAAGCACGCGUUCUUCAGAUAAUACACACACACACGAUCGCAGGUUCUCACUCCAACACUCGCCACUCGGGAAUCACACGGGGGAAAAUCCAGGGAGCUCUGCAGACAGGGAGACGGGGUUAAAUACAACGCACAAAAGAAACACACUUAACUUGACUUGCUGUAGCGUGACUUCACUAACGCGUGGUAGACAACGAUCCAGCGAUGAAUAGCAGUCACCUCCUGGCUUAAAUGCUGAUCAUCUUAAUGAGACUCAGGUGUCUCAUCUCCUGAGGGCGUGGGCCGAGGGCGUGAACCCACAGUGAGUUCCGCCCCGGGGAGAGAGAAGAGGAGAGAGAGAGAGGAAGAGACAGAGAAACAGAUAGAAAGUGCUGAUCAGCGUGCAGCUGAUCUGCCUGGCCAUGACAGUAGCAGUAGUAGUAAUACUAAAAGUAGUAGCAGUAGUAGUACUAGUAUUGUGCAACAACCAGGCUUCAAGAGCGGUCACUCUUCUGGCUUGCAAAUGGUGAAAACAUAUCACAUACACAUGUCACAGUAUUAACUGCAAAUCAGAAAUGCUAAAUUAUAAAAGGAGUUUAAACUUCAGGUUUGGCAUAGACACAGACUUUAUUAAUCCCACUCUGGGGAAAUUCACAUGUUACAGCAGCACAAGGGUCAGCAAGAAAAAAUGAAUCAGAGAUAUAUUAGAAAAACACAAAAAUAAAUAAAUACUGCACAAAUUUAAAAUGAGUAAAAAACCUAUGUGAGUAAUUACUACUGAUCUACAAAUGGUGGUUAUAUAUAGCAAAUACACUCAGAGAAUUUUAGCACACAGCCCCUUUCUCUAUAAAGCUGAUUGUAAUUCCUGGUCAGUUCAUGCAGUAAUUAUAAAUUAAAGCCGCACUUCAGUUAACUCUUUUUUAAUAAUUAAUAACAGGUUUGUUUCUUAGAUCUAAUGAUACAGCCAAAACAUACUGCUUGUAUAAUGCUGUAUGUCUCCCAGCACCACAACAGGAUGAUUCCCAAAGUAUGACUCAAUAAACAAAGACUCUAAAGCCAGAACAGAAAGAUAUAGUUGGAAUAUUAAAGAUUAAGGACUGUGUUUUUAUAGGAUAUACUAAACCAUCAAGUUGUCUUCUCGGCCUUGUGUGUACCUUAGAAGUCAAAUUAUACAUUAGCCAGACUUCAAAAAACAUUUUGAAUUUCAUUUAUAACUGAGAUGCCAAGCUGUUAUCAGAAAUCUCAUGCUCACCAGAAGCAUGUAUCCCCACUUUCAAAACCUUUAAGUGUCAAAUCCACAAACCCAACAUGGGGUCAGAGCGAAUGUCAGUUUAUCCGCACGGCCCAAUGUGUAAAGACACAUUUUUACUAUUCUCGUUUGUAAGGCCAACUUUGAUUCUGUUUUCCUUUUUCUGGGUUAAACAAAAGCAAAUACAAUGUAAUAAAGCUUUCCAUCGGGGCAUGCACCCUCCAAAUCUCCCUAUUUUCACUGUUACAAAAGCAACGGUUCAACUAAGAAUUUUAUUUCACACACACACACACACACACACACACACACAGUCCCCCCCAAAACGAAAAAGGUGACAUUUUUGGUCAAAAAAGUGAACUUUUAGUCAAAAAGUAAACUUUUUUGGCUUAAAAAUGACAACAAAACUCAAACUAUCACAAAUGAUUAUUUGUUAUUAUUAACACUCCCUAAGUCAUAAAUCACUGGUUUGACAUAAGGUGUAUGUUCCUACUCUCUAAAGUGGAAUGAAAGUGAUUGGUUGAACAGGUGUUCAUGAUGUCUGUUCUGUGUUAUCUGCACUUCCAUCAGCGUACAAGACUCAGCAGCAGAUUAGAAUCAAACAGAACAUCUAUAGCCCACAUUUAAUAAAUCACCAAAUUAAUACACGAAUGUUCCUGUGACAAUGCGAUGCACUGUUUGCUCUUCAUUCAGUGAUUUUAGUACAGCAGGCUGCAUGCUGCUCAUUUUAAACACAUUCCCCAGUUUUAAACACUUAAAACAUGUGGUAAGCUGGUAAAAGAAGUCUGCACCGUCCUGCAACCAUUUGAGGAGGUGACUGUUGAGAUAAGUACAGACAGCUAUGUCACAGCCUCCAAAAUGCUCCUGCUUUGCAAACGUCUUCAGCCAGUGACAGCCUAACACCAACUGACAGUAACCAUGCAGAAAGUAAAGGAAUUUGUUGCAGAUCUUUGUUCAGCCAUGGAUCGAAAAUAUCUGUGUAUGGAGUUCAACACUGUCCUCUCAGAAACUGCAUUACUGGAUCCUAGUUUUAAAAAGCUUGUAUUCAGUGACAACAGAGCUGUUGAUGGGGCACUUCAGAGAAUAACUGCCACAGCAGCAAAAUGCACCACCCAGCUCCAGCAUUAGAGGGCCAAGUGGGGGAGGAGCCACAAAUUCCUGCUGUGUGGAGGCUCUUUGAUGAAAGAGCUACAGGAGAUGCUACAAAGAGAAAUACUACAGCUGAUGUUAUAAUGGAGAUGCGAUCUUGAGUACUCCUUCAUCCAACGUGGAGAAGACCUGCUGAGCUGGUGGCAGGCCAAGGCCACAGUCUUUCCACACCUGGUGAAGGUGAUAGAGGGAUGACUGUGAAUAGUGGCAACAUCUGUUCCUCCGGAGAGAGUCUUCUCAAAAAAAGGGCAGAUACUAACUGUCAUGGUCUGGGUGAGUGCUGGAUUUUUCCAUUGUGCUGGUGAGUCCACCUCUGGGUGGAGUGAGUAAUGUGAGUAAUUUGGCUGCCAGCUUUUAAGACCAGACUAACAAUGGCUAGCAGAUGAUCUGGCUAGGAGUGAUUGUGAGUGCUCUGCCAUCGUAGUUGAAGUUAACAUAUCAUAGUAUUGCUCGUACUCACCUGUUUACCCUCUCUGCUCACAGUAAUUCUCCGGACACCAUUCUCCAUCCUGCCAUAACUAACCUCUGUUCAGUUGCUGGUCUGUUCAGCAGCUUCACCGCUUUACUCACUUGCCUUCCUCCCUGCCCUGCUUCCUGGAAACACUUGAAUCUCUGCUCUGGACAAAUAUCACUCACGGCUCACCCAGACCACUUACCCUUCCACGCUUUGCCUCUGCCUGCGAAAAUGACUCCGAGAAUCCUGGCACCAUUCCCCUGUCUAGCCUCCCCCUUUAGUCCCACACCACAGGGUUCCUGUACUGGCUGUUACCCAGUAUUGGGUUCUCUAGCUCCUGCUCACGCCAGCCUAAGGGCUUGUUCUCUGGACUCUCUCAUAGCAUGCCGUGUGUUCACAGCUCAUAGUUCAUAGUUGUUUGUUUUUAUGAUAACAUUCAUGAUACUGUUCUAGUUAAUUGUACAUCAUAGUAUUGUUCUAGUUGGCUUUAUUGACUUUUAUUCAUAGUUCAUAUAACUCGCCAAGCUCCUGAGUGCAUAGUGUUGGGAAACAUUCUGUUGCACAUUUUCACUCCUUGUAAAUAAAG